GCCUGGGUGGCUCAGUUGGUUAAGCAUCAGACUUUGGUUCGGGUUAUGAUCUCAUUGUUUGUGGGUUCAAGCCCCAUGUCAGGCU
rnacentral:tRNA from 1 species